AUGCUUGCUUAUGUUGCAUCACCAAUGACUCAUACUUGUUCAUUUCAUGCGGUUGAUGACAACCAUCUAUAUGCUUUGCACAUGAUUCAUAUUUCUUCUUGUCAUAUAGCUCCAUAUGUUGCCUCUCUCAUGCUAGAUGAUUUGCCAUGUAUUGAGUGCAACAAUGAUUCUCUUCUUGCUCAUGAGAUUGCCCCCAUAGCAUUCUCGCAUAUGUUUGGAGAUUUUGACACAAUUCUUGUGAAGCAUGCUUGUCUUACUUCUUUACACCAUGUACCUAGUGCCAUGAAUAUAGCCAUUGUUGCAUCAUAUUAUUCAUGCACUUGUGCUUCUAAUGGUUUUGUGCAAAAGAUGAGAACCAUCAUGAUGGAUGAUGUGUUUGUCUACCAUGCGCAUACUUUCUUUGUUUUGUUUUGUGCAUGUGUAGGAUACUUGGACUUUGUGUCGACUUCCACUUCACGUGAGUUGACCAUUCGAGGUCUUGAGAGCGAGCCUCAUACAUUCUACCACGACUCGCUUUCACACCAAAUUUCCUACAACUUCGGCAUUGUGAAGAAUGCACAAGGACAGACUUUCAAGGUGACAUCCUUCUUGAGCUUGGAUAUUGUGGAUCAUACUUCAUGUGUUGCUUGCACCAUUUGCACGCAUGUUUGA
rnacentral:rRNA from 1 species